rnacentral:rRNA from 1 species
UACGAAGGGGGCGAGCGUUGUUCGGAUUUACUGGGCGUAAAGGGCGCGCAGGCGGCGCAUUUUGUCAGGCGUGAAAGCCCCGGGCUUAACCUGGGAACUGCGUUUGAUACGGAUGGGCUAGAGUUCGGGAGAGGAGAGUGGAAUUCCCAGUGUAGCAGUGAAAUGCGUAGAGAUGUGGAGGAACACCGAUGGCGAAGGCAGCCCCCUGGGCUGACACUGACGCUCAGGCACGAAAGCGUGGGGAGCAAACAGG